UUCCCUACUGAGUACUUUCGUUUUAAACAUAAUGAAGAUCUUCAGGCGUUAGUUAAUAUAUCUCUGUUUUAAAUAACAAAUCAGAACAAUAUCGGACAGGAUCAGUUAUUUUUAUUUUAUGAACAUACACUUACCAUGGGAAACAGUUCUGGGACGAACGUUCGUAAAGAUUGUGAUGUUAUUGCUGCAAUUUUUGACGAGAAGAACAAAUGGCACGAGAUUUUAUCAGGCGCUAAACAUCCCGACAUGGUUCUCAUCAAUGACUUGUUAUUCAACACACAUCAAAGGCUAAAAUGUUACGUGAAACAGAUGCAUUCAACAUCCGUUGAAAUACAAACAGAUCUGGAUGAACGUACGAUUGAAUUGGAAGAGCAAUUAGAAAAGCUAAAAACCGAUAGGGACGCAUUAACAAUAAGGCUAAGCAAAGUUGUGGGCGAGAAGCUGAUGAAGGACAACUCUUACAUAACUGAUCUCAGUGACGAGAAUAGACCAACAAAAAUAGGAGAGGUGUACACAAAGUUAUACGACAACGAAUGGACGGAUGCAUAUGAAGCGCUAACGAAAUCAUGAUACAAAGGCACAGAGGCUAUAGGAACUCUGUUCAAGACAUUAAAGGUAUGUUUCGAGUUCUGUCAUUCAAAGGCCGAUCAGCUCUUGAAGUCGACUGUGAAAGUUGCUGCAAACGUCCUUUUUCAAGAAUUCCACGAAGAAAUGAAAGACCAGAAGAAAUUGCGUCAGACGUUAGCAGUAGUGUCCAAGGUAUGUUAUUUACUAUAAUUUUAUUUGCACACACGAACAUGAACUUCAAAGCUUACAAUAAUGGAUUUAUUUGAUCUUUUU